UCCUAGGAAUGAACCCUUCAUUUCUCCAACUGCUCAGUGUCUUUAAAAAUGUUGCUUAGUCUAAGGAGAUCUGUCCAUCUGUCUAGCUUAGAGUUCCCAAGGGACCAGAAAACCUCAGCCCAGCCUGGUUCUGCACGUUCAACUGUGGUGUAUUCUGCUAGAAACAGGAUAUCCACCUUUCCACUGCAUGGAGAUACGCACAAUCAUCUGCUAGAGAUGUCUGCAGAUCAGGUCGCUGAUUAAAGCACAGGAGCAGGGCUUGUUCUAAAAAAAAAAGACUGACAACUUUUUUCCAGAUCUGGAGGUAAACCUGGCAAUUUGUAAGCAAGACGUGUGGGGUUUUUUUCAUUCUGUGCUAUCUCUGGAGCUUCCUGAAUUUGAAAGGAGACCCAAAUUAUCUGGAGCAACAACAACAAAAGCAAACUCACCUGUGAAUAUAGAAGUUGAAUUCUGACAGUUGUUUUUGUCUGGAAAUGAAUAUGUUGCUAAGAGCUAAUCCAAACUUGGAUGCAUAGUUCCAUCUCCUUGCCCUCCACAAUCGAAGGUCAUUGGGAUAGACUCAUCAGGCCUCAAUGCCGGAGACAUUCACCACAGUGCUUUUCCCCGACUUGGAGAGCAUUUUCCUGUAGAAAGAAGGAAUGGGAAAACGUGGAUGAGCAGAUGAUGAAUUUUUGCCCAGGAUAUUCCUUCUGCAAUACAUCAGCAAGCCUCGCUGGCGCUUGUAAUAGCAAAAGACAUCCAUCACCAGCAAAAGGGCCAAGAGGAUUACCAAUACAAUAGCCAAGAUGCUGCCAAUUCCCAUACCUUUGUCUGGAAGGGGAGAAGUACAUCUGUUUGCAAGAGCAGAUGGGAAGGGGGACAGAAUGCAUGAAUCCUAUAACUAGCCCUGAACAGAGGAUGACCCUGUUGUAAACAUGGACAAGCCGGAAAGGGAAUGUCAAGGUAAAGGCAAGUCAAGGGAGACUUCUUGGCUCAUACCAUGUGCCAUCGGGAAAGUGUGGAAUAGAAAUUUAAAAAUAAAUAAAUAAAAUUGCUGACUGGGAGUGAGACGGGACUGAGCAUUUAAGGACAGAUGAGAGGAGUGCAAGUGUAAGAGUAGGUGGGAGGCAAUCUGGUGCAAAUAAGGCUCAAGAACAAAGGAAAGGGUAAGCAGAAGCAGAAGGGAGUUAAGUUAUACAAAGGGGGGAGAGGAAGGCUGGGAAGAAAACUCUGGGUGUCCUGUGGUAUUCACCUAAAUGCUGUUUCAAGAGCCACCAAGAGAAACUUUGUGAUGAGGAGGAUCCUGACCUUUCUCAAAAGUGAGGAGUUCCUAAGGUACACUCUGAAGUAAGAGGGUUAUCAUUAUAAGGGAAGGUUUUGCAUCUGAUGUAGACCAAGAGCACCAUCUACAGCAUGGGUGGGGAACCUUUGGGCCUCCAGAUAUUGCUGAACCACCACCUCCCUCAGCCCCAGCAAGCAUGGCCAAUGGCCAGAUAUGAUGGGAGCUGGGGUCCAAGCACAUCUGGAGGGCCAAAGGUUCCCCACCUUUAAUCGACAGCCUUGUGGGUUCUCAGUCUCUGCUGGGAACAAACCUCUUGGCUUAGAUUCAGUCUACUUUCAUUUCAUGCAGAGGCCUGCGGUCCUCUAGAAGUGGCUGGACUACAGCUCCCAUCACUUCAGCCAGCAUGACCAAUGGUUGAAGAUGAUGGGAAUUGCUGUCCAACCACACCUGGAGGGCCAUAGGUUUCCCAUUCUUGGUUUGCUCUCCUGUUCAUAACAGCCACACACAAAGGCCUCCUUUCAGCCCUAUCCAAGCUUCCCCUGGGCAGAAAUGGCCUCUUGAAAUUCACCACGUUAUGGGGAGGCAUUUUGCUAAAUAUUCUCAGCAGGGAGAGGUAAUUUUUUUUCAUCAGUUUUGCUCUGAUAGAUCACCAUUAGCACCACUGGUGUGGCUUCCUUCUACUUUCUUUUUCUUUCUUUCCUUCUUUCCUUUUUGCUUCUGUCAUGCUCCUGAGUUGGCAGCCCGGCCUCCAUUUUGUUUCACUAGCCACAAAGACUAUACUCUACGUCCAGUGUCUGAGGCAGCGAGCUUCUGAAUGCCAGUUCCUGGGAAUCACACAAGCGGGGAGACUUCUGUUGAGCUCAGGUCUUGUUUGUGGGCUUUCCUUUGGGGCAUCUGGUUGGCCACUGUGAGAACAGGAUAGUAGACUAGAUGGGCCUUUGGCUUGAUCUAGCAACGCCCCUCUUAAGUUCUUAUCCCUCACAAAGGCCCAGUCAUUGCAUCUUUCUACAAAGAUGUAGAGGUAAAUGGCAGCUGCCACACAAAGGCAGGGGAAGAUAUUGAAUAAAUAUUUAACAAAAUGCCCCUUGAAUUCAGAACAGGGCUUGAAACAAGGGCCUUCUCCAUAGUUUUUCCCAAAUAAAGCUUUUUGAAAAGUGUUGGCCCAGCUGUAAAUAGAUCACACCAUACAUGUAAAGCACAUUCAACACACAUUUAAAGCACAUGACUUCCUCCAAAGAAUUCUGGGAAAUGUGGUUUUCCACUCACAGAGCUACAACUUCCUGACUUUCUUAACAAACUACAGUUCCCAUGAUUCUUUUGGGCAAGUCAUGUGCUUUAAACAUUCAUUGGAUGUGCUUUAAAUGUACGGUGAGAAUCUGAGUAUAUCUACCUUAUCAGCUCAACAGUAGUAGCUUUCCCAAAUAACCCAGAAAUCGACAUAUUUGGUGAUGCUCAGAAUUCUCUAGAGCAGGGAUGAGGAACAUGAGGCCCUCCAAAUGUUGCUGGACUACAUCUCCCAUCAUCUCUUACCACUGGCCAUGCUGGCUGGGCUGGAGCUGAUGGGAUCUGAAGUCCAACACCAUGUGGAGGGCCACAGAUUCUAAAGCUGUGCUCUAGAGAUUUCCUUGCCUCCCUCAAAGAAAUGUAGUUUCCAGAGUUCCUUGAGGAGAGGAAAUGUGUGUUAAAAUGAGUUUCAACCUGUAUUGUCAAAAUUCUGACUCCUAGCUGUUGAAGAAUGUCUAAGAAUAAUUAUUUGCAACUCACCUCCUUGGAGAGUAACUUUCUUCUCUGUAGUGCCCAGAUCAUUGGUAGCUGUUAUUAGCAGUUCUGAAAUAUCUUUUUGGGAUGUUGGUGUGAACUACAGCCAAAAUUAAAAAGGAAAACUUAAGCUUCCUGCCUAGUAAGAUGCAUUAAAUGCAUGGGAAUGGUAUUCUGCUGUGAUAAGCGAAGAAACACUUAUCAAGGUUUUUGCAUAGCUUAUACCAGCCUUCUUGCAUAGCUUAUACCAGCCUUCUCCAAAUACUGCUGGACUCACACCAUCCUUGUGUUGGAAGUGCAACCGCUGGGAUCAUUCAGUUUGUAAGUUAAGGGUUAAUUCUGUUAUCAAUAAACCAGCUAACCAAGAGGGAUGGUGGUGGUAGAGGUGUUGCUUGGCAACCUUGCUGAGCAACAUGAUCUUCACUGAGGUAUCACAUGCUCUAAUUAGUUGUGUAGUUCUGAGGGAGUUUUAAUUUUGAAUGUGUUCAGUUGAAUGUCUGCUUGACCGGUAACAAGGCCCAAACUGAAAGACAAAACCUUGCUGUUCCUUUCUCCACAAAAUUAUGCACUGUAUUUUGUUCAGUUUGCUUAGCAAAGUGUUACAGGGAAUUUUCUCUCUAGAUUGUGUAUUAUUUAAGUCAUUUGCCUAACACCCUGAUGAUUGGUGUACAAAAAUGCAUAUAUAUUAGGGGAAAAUGUGCACAAGUGCAUAUAUGAGGAGAAAUGAUUGCAUUAAAAAUGAAGGAAAAUUGCUUGCAAAAACGUGUACAUUAGGAGAAAUGCAGACUAAACUGCUGAUUAAUUUCAUGAAGACUUUUUUUUCUUAAUGCAAACUGAUGGGGAAAUGUGGAGAAUUUUCCUCCUUAAGCAUUUGUACUUCUGUAGACCUUGAUGUCACCUCUUGAGUGUGGAUGGUGCUGUGUAGGGUACAUAAGGAUCCAUACACGGAGAAUGAGUUGACUCUUUGGAUAGCUCUACCGUCACUACCAAUCUUUCCUUGCAGUCUUUCCUGCCACAAGAGAGUGUUGGGGCAUGUUUUCAUAUGCCCUCUACAUCCAUUCAGGGGUACUGUGAAGCCCUAGCAUGCACCUGAUGCUGGUCUCUGAAAUCCAGUGACAUGUCCAUGGCUUCCUCCAUAAACUGGACAUUGCAAAGGAGACUCUGAAGACAAUUUAAAGUUAGAUGCUUUGAAAUAUAUUGCUGGAUUACCAAUUUGGUACGCUCCAAUUGUUUCUGGAUCCCAACUCCCAUCAGCCCCAGCCAGCAUGGCCAGUGGUUAGUGAUGAUGGGAGCUGUAGUCCGACAACAUCUGAAGGGCCACAGACUCUCCUCACCUGCACUAGAAACAGGUGAAGGAAGGAGUGAGGCUCUUGGCAACGACAGCAGUAAGAAUUAUGGAAGAGCCAGAGGGUCAAAACAUAGAGGUAGGAAACGGCUUGCGAGACACACAGCCUGCACUUCUUGUUCCCAUUUGAAAGCUGUCAUCUCGGUGACAGGUCUAUGAUGCAACUAGGUGCAGCUGCUCUGCCUCUGCAGUUCUAUGGGGCAAGCCUUGUUUGUUCAGUAUUGGUCAUCAUCCACAUGACCACAUUCCAUUGGAGGCUGGGAGGGCCAAUCACUGGACGGAAACCGAGACCCUAUGGACUGGAGGACUUGUAGCCUACCCUUGAGCUUGUAGCUCAAAGAUCUGGAAAUACAUUUUCAGAAGGUUAGUUUUUUCCCAUCUGAGGCCCAAAUUGAUUCUGAGCUUCACUAUUUAAAUGAAAUCUGAUUUGUCAUUCAUGUGGAAGAGAAGCAUUUGUAAUUCAGAUGAGUAGUUCAGCCAGCAACAUGUGUGCGCGUGCGCGUGUGUGUAAAAGAAAAUACCCAAAAUCUCAGGUACUUCUGAGUGCCAUGACUUAGGAACAUAGGAAGGUGUCGUAUGUUGAAACAGACCAUUGGUACAUCUAGUUUAGUAGUGUCUGCACUAACUGGCAGGAGCUGUCCAGGACUGCAGACAGGGGUCUCUCCCAGCCCUACCUGAAAAUGUGGGGAUUGAACCUGGGACCUUCUGUAUGCAAAGCAGAUGUUCUACCACAGAGCUAUGAUCCUUCCCCAAUUCCCAUCAGCCCCAGCCAAUAUGGGCAUGGUGUGAGUUGUAGCCCUAAACAGUCUUACCGCAAAGGAGUACGUAUAUCUGUCACGGUCCUGCGCCAGCUUCUUGAUGUCAUCACCUUCAAAAACCUUCCCCUUCCAAGCGAUAGAGACAGAAGGGGAAGGGCUGGCCAGGAUGGUGAAGUUGUACUGGGUGGGAUUCCCAAUCUGGAUGGGAAACGAUUCACCUGUGGGGAGCUCUAUCCUUGGAGAGACUGGGAGAGCAAACCAGUUGAAUAUCAGGCAUUGGUUACAUAGGAAGCUGCCUUAUACUAUUGGUCCAUCUAGCUUAGUAUUAUCUGCACUGACUGGCAGCAGCUCUCCAGGGUUUCAGGCAGCCCUAUCUGGAGAUGCCAGGGACUGAACCUGGGACCUUCUGUGUGCAAGGCAGAUGAUCUACCCCCGAGUUCCCUGAGAAGAGGGAUUGACUGUUAAACUACUCUAGGAUUGUAGCUCUGUGAGGGGAAUAGGGAUCUCCCGCAACUCUCAGCACCCUUCACAAAUUACGGUUUCAUGGAUUCUUUAGGUGAAGCCAUGACUGCUUAAAGUGGUAUGAUGAUGCUUUCAAUGUAACGUGCAGCUGGGUCCUUGGACAGGACAGGCUGUCAGUUAGUGGACUGUCCUCUGUAAAGUAGUAGAACACUUGGCCAGCCUGAUAUAUUGCUCAGGUACCCAUAUGUUUCUUAGGGUAACACAGUGGCUAGGAAUGAGGCAUAAGCAGCAGGAGGGAUUUUGCAAGCCUGACGUAGUGCAUCAGCUGCAUCUUGAGAAACAGGAUGGAGAGAAAGGCUUGUAUGCACCACCCACUGCUACACUUUUCUCAUAAAAAGAAGGCAUUGCAAUCACUGUUGCAUCAGUGGAGACAUGGUAAAUCCAAAGACAACAGCAGAAACACUGUCUAGUUGAAAGGAUUGCAUUUGGCUGUCUCUAUCACUUUACGCUGUGGAUUGUGCAAUAUUCAAAUACCUGAAUAGGAUCCCUGUGGGAUCUCUGUGGCUUGGCAGUUGAAGUUGGCCCUCGUGCAUUCGACAACUUCCUUUGUAGGGUCCAAUCUGGUCACAAAUGUGGGACUCUCUAUAAAUAGCAACACGGGAAGUUGAUUUGUACCAGAGCCAGAUCAUUGGCCCAUCUAGCUGAAUAUUGCCUACUGCAAGGGUGGGGAACUUUUUUGCCCUGGUGGACCAGUUCUUUACCUCCUCCCAUCUCCAUUGACCAACCCUGACAGGUGGGUGGAGCCACCCACCCACCAAUCAUCUGGUAUCACAUUGACAUUAGGUGACUGAUGGGUGGGAGGUCCCAUCCAUCUGUCAAAGUUAAACCAUGGGGGACAAAGGUCUGUGUCACCCAGGGGUGUAGUGGUCCAGGGUCUUAGACCCUUUACUUUUCU